AGCUCCAAUAGCGUAUAUUAAAGUUGUUGCAGUUAAAAAGCUCGUAGUUGGAUUUCUGUUGAAAACUGCCGGUCCGCUUUUUAAGUGUGUACCUGGUAAGGAUUCAACAUCCUUUUGGAGUACAUUUACUGCACUUAAUUGUGUGGAAUAUGUAAUCCAAAAUUUUUACUUUGAGAAAAUUAGAGUGUUUCAAGCAGGCAUUUGCCUUGAAUACUGCAGCAUGGAAUAAUAAGAUAGGAUUUUGGUUCUAUUUUGUUGGUUUCUAGAACUGAAGUAAUGAUUAAUAGGGACAGUUGGGGGCAUUCGUAUUUAAUUGUCAGAGGUGAAAUUCUUAGAUUUUUUAAAGACGAACUACUGCGAAAGCAUUUGCCAAGGAUGUUUUCA
rnacentral:rRNA from 1 species